UGAUGGAGGGAGGGAAGAGGGUAAAGAAGAGACCAGAGGACAAGAAGGUGAAAGACAGAGAAAGAAAGUUAUAAUCAGUAUUUCUGGACUUUAUUUCUGGUUUCACACAGCUGGCCACACCCUUCAGACAGAAGACCACCUAACCAUCUAACCACACCUAUUUUCUGUCUAGCCACACCCCUCACCUUGGAUUUGUGCUCCAGGAUGUCGAUGCUGCUCCCAGACAGGAACAGACACACCUUACUCUUCUUCUGCAGUUUCUCAGUGGAAUCUCUCUCUGGAGUCUAAAAAGGAGAGGGUUUGCAUAUUCCCAUCAUGUUUGUGUGUGCGUAUGUAUAUGUGUGUAUGUAUAGUUGUGUGUUUGUGUGUGUAUAUGUAUGUAUGUAUAGUUGUGUGUUCCCUGAGUUAUAUUGUUCUGCGCUCUCAAACAUUAAAAAGGAACGGUGAUUUCCACAAUCCAUAGCAGUGUGAAUGGGUUGCCGAGAUUGUUAGCCAUUGAGGGAUCACCGCUUGUUUGCUGUUGACAGGUUCCGAAGCAGCACGGAAUCCAACUCCUGGAGUUUUCGGGGGAUCCCGAGGAGUGACGUCAUCUAGCGUUGGGGAAGCCGCAGGGCCGGCCCAAGGCAUAAGGGUUAGGGCCCCGGCCCUGGGAAGCCGCAUCAAGCUAACAGUUCCAGCCACCCGUGGGUGAACCUAAAGACACUGGCCGUGCGUCAAGUUCAAAGUCCGGCUGGGACAAGAGAACUUUCCUCCAUCCCUACACCUGGGUGGACUGGUGGUGCAGCCUGACCGAUCCAGUCCGUAGUUUGGUCAGGUCCAGAUUUCUUUACUUUUGUUCUGACGCUUUUAUUUUCUGUUUGUCUGUGUGCCAGCCUGCUUGCCUAGACAGGUGACAGCAUUGGGGGUGGGCUUUAUGGGAGUUGCAGGUAGAGGCUUGUUGGUCCUUAUGUGCACGUGUGAAGCUUGAAAUGCUGCGUGCUAUUUGUGUGUAGCUAUCUGCAUUAUUGAGUGCCUAUACGAUUCCAUCAAUCCUGUGUGCGGGUUAGACUUAAAUGCCCGGUGAAACCUUUGCUGUGUGACGUUUUGGUGUGCCAUAUUUCACCCUAGUUGUAAAGACCUAGCCUUUCUGUGUGACCACCUUUAGCCCUCCGCUAAACCUGAUUGGUAAU